AUUGAACGCUGGCGGCAGGCCUAACACAUGCAAGUCGAACGGUAACAGGAAGCAGCUUGCUGCUUUGCUGACGAGUGGCGGACGGGUGAGUAAUGUCUGGGAAACUGCCUGAUGGAGGGGGAUAACUACUGGAAACGGUAGCUAGUACCGCAUAACGUCGCAAGACCAAAGAGGGGGACCUUCGGGCCUCUUGCCAUCGGAUGUGCCCAGAUGGGAUUAGCUAGUAGGUGGGGUAACGGCUCACCUAGGCGACGAUCCCUAGCUGGUCUGAGAGGAUGACCAGCCACACUGGAACUGGACACGGUCCAGACUCCUACGGGAGGCAGCAGUGGGGAAUAUUGCACAAUGGGCGCAAGCCUGAUGCAGCCAUGCCGCGUGUAUGAAAAAGGCCUUCGGGUUGUAAAGUACUUUGCAGCGGGGAGGAAGGCGAUAAGGUUAAUAACCUUGUCGAUUGACGUUACCCGCAGAAGAGCACCGCUAACUCAC
rnacentral:rRNA from 1 species